UACGGAGGGGGCUAGCGUUGUUCGGAAUUACUGGGCGUAAAGGGCGCGUAGGCGGCCUUCUAAGUCGAACGUGAAAUCCCCGGGCUCAACCCGGGAACUGCGUCCGAUACUGGAAGGCUUGAAUCCGGGAGAGGGAUGUGGAGUUCCAGGUGUAGCGGUGAAAUGCGUAGAUAUCUGGAGGAACACCGGUGGCGAAGGCGACAUCCUGGACCGGUAUUGACGCUGAGGCGCGAAAGCCAGGGGAGCAAACGGG
rnacentral:rRNA from 1 species